GCACGGGAGCAAUCCUGGUGGCGAGUGGCGAACGGGUGAGUAAUAUAUCGGAACGUGCCCAGUCGUGGGGGAUAACGCAGCGAAAGCUGUGCUAAUACCGCAUACGAUCUCUGGAUGAAAGCGGGGGACCUGCAAGGGCCUCGCGCGAUUGGAGCGGCCGAUAUCAGAUUAGCUAGUUGGUGGGGUAAAAGCUCACCAAGGCGACGAUCUGUAGCUGGUCUGAGAGGACGACCAGCCACACUGGAACUGAGACACGGUCCAGACUCCUACGGGAGGCAGCAGUGGGGAAUUUUGGACAAUGGGCGCAAGCCUGAUCCAGCAAUGCCGCGUGCAGGAUGAAGGCCUUCGGGUUGUAAACUGCUUUUGUACGAAACGAAAAGGCUCUUUUUAAUAAAGAGGGCUCAUGACGGUACCGUAAGAAUAAGCACCGGCUAACUACGUGCCAGCAGCCGCGGUAAUACGUAGGGUGCGAGCGUUAAUCGGAAUUACUGGGCGUAAAGCGUGCGCAGGCGGUUUUGUAAGACAGAUGUGAAAUCCCCGGGCUCAACCUGGGACCUGCAUUUGUGACUGCAAGGCUAGAGUACGGUAGAGGGGGAUGGAAUUCCGCGUGUAGCAGUGAAAUGCGUAGAUAUGCGGAGGAACACCGAUGGCGAAGGCAAUCCCCUGGACCUGUACUGACGCUCAUGCACGA
rnacentral:rRNA from 1 species